rnacentral:rRNA from 1 species
AUUAAACGCUGGCGGCAGGCCUAACACAUGCAAGUCGAGCGGAUGAAGGGAGCUUGCUCCUGGAUUCAGCGGCGGACGGGUGAGUAAUGCCUAGGAAUCUGCCUGGUAGUGGGGGAUAACGUCCGGAAACGGGCGCUAAUACCGCAUACGUCCUGAGGGAGAAAGUGGGGGAUCUUCGGACCUCACGCUAUCAGAUGAGCCUAGGUCGGAUUAGCUAGUUGGUGGGGUAAAGGCCUACCAAGGCGACGAUCCGUAACUGGUCUGAGAGGAUGAUCAGUCACACUGGAACUGAGACACGGUCCAGACUCCUACGGGAGGCAGCAGUGGGGAAUAUUGGACAAAGGGCGAAAGCCUGAUCCAGCCAUGCCGCGUGUGUGAAGAAGGUCUUCGGAUUGUAAAGCACUUUAAGUUGGGAGGAAGGGCAGUAAGUUAAUACCUUGCUGUUUUGACGUUACCAACAGAAUAAGCACCGGCUAACUUCGUG